GGCUCUGCGUUCUGGAGUGGCACUGCUUGGGCUGGUGGCGGAUUGCACGCUGCUGGUGUUGAGGCUGAGGAGAGCGACGAGAGGGUUCCACGUUUCUCGUCAGGAUCCCCGCAAGCAUGAGUGCUGCCAGAGAGUCUCACCCACACGGGGUGAAGCGUUCAGCCUCCCCAGACGAUGAUCUGGGAUCUAGCAACUGGGAGGCAGCAGACUUGGGUAAUGAAGAGAGAAAACAAAAGUUCUUGAGACUUAUGGGUGCAGGAAAGAAAGAACAUACUGGUAGUCUUGUUAUAGGAGAUCACAAAUCAACAUCUCACUUCCGAGCAGGGGAAGAAGACAAGAAAAUAAAUGAAGAACUGGAGUCUCAAUAUCAGCAAAGUAUGGACAGUAAAUUAUUCAGGAAGAUAUCAGCGACAUUGUGGACUUGGCUUCAGUGAGGUAGAAGAUCAUGAUGGAGAAGGUGAUGUGGCUGGAGAUGAUGAUGACGACGAUGAUGAUUCACCUGAUCCUGAAAGUCCAGAUGACUCUGAAAGCGAUUCAGAGUCAGAGAAAUCUGAAUCUGAAUGAAUCUGCUGAAGGACUGAAUCUGCUGAAGCACUCCAAGCUGCUGAGCACCCUGAUGAAGUGGAGGAUCCCCAAAACAAAAAAGAUGCAAAAAGCAAUUAUAAAAUAAUGUUUGUUAAAUCCAGUAUUCAUAACUCCCAAACACUUAGUCUUUGUAUUAAAAGUAAGACUUAUUGUUAUAAUGCACAGUGGAGGCCUGCUUAUAGAGCACAGACCUUUGUAUUAUAAUUUUUAGAAGGCCCUUUUAAAUAAUUACAAAGAGUGUUUGCUUUCAAAUGCCAUGGGUUACACUUUUAUGGGCAUGACUAUAACCAUUUUUGUAAAGAGUAAGAGUUGUAUAAAAUAAGAAAUAAAUACAGUACUCAACUUCCUUUGAUAUUAUCA